GACCCUUCGGGGUUAGUGGCGGACGGGUGAGUAACGCGUGAGGAUCUGCCUUCAGGUCUGGGACAACAGUUGGAAACGACUGCUAAUACCGGAUGUGCCGAGAGGUGAAAGGCUUGCUGCCUGAAGAUGAACUCGCGUCUGAUUAGCUAGUUGGUGAGGUAAAGGCUCACCAAGGCGACGAUCAGUAGCUGGUCUAAGAGGAUGAUCAGCCACACUGGGACUGAGACACGGCCCAGACUCCUACGGGAGGCAGCAGUGAGGGAUAUUGCACAAUGGGCGAAAGCCUGAUGCAGCAACGCCGCGUGGGCGAAGAAGGUUUUCGGAUCGUAAAGCCCUUUUCCGAGUGACGAGGAAGGACGGUAGCUCGGGAAUAAGCGUCGGCUAACUACGUGCCAGCAGCCGCGGUAAAACGUAGGACGCAAGCGUUAUCCGGAAUUACUGGGCGUAAAGCGCGUGUAGGCGGAUGCAUAAGUCAGGCGUGAAAGCUCCCGGCUAAACUGGGAGAGGUCGUCUGAAACUGUGUAUCUAGAGUGUGGCAGAGGGAUGUGGAAUUCCGCGUGUAGUGGUGAAAUGCGUAGAUAUCAUCGGGAACACCUGUGGCGAAAGCGGCUCACUGGGUCUCUUCUGACACUGAGGCACGAAAGCCAGGGGAGCGAACGGGAUUAGAUACCCUGGUA
rnacentral:rRNA from 1 species